ensembl:lncRNA
AAAAAAACACAAAACAGCUCAAUCACACUUCACUUUUUUCUUUCCCUGAAGUCAUGUGAUUUCUGGUUCUGUGUUUGAGUUACGUGUGUAAAACAUUUGUUUUCGACUCUGUAAAGUGGGUUCCUCAUUUCUGCUCCCUUAGAGCCUCAUUCCUGUUGAGUUUAGUUUUGACACAGUUGGCUGUUAUUAAAGUAAAUGCAAAGAUUGACUAGUUGAUUCAGGUGCGUUUAAAUCAGAUCAAACUAAACUAGGAAUGUAGAAUCUUGAUAAUCAAAUGUCCACUAGAUGUCAGUCUCAGACAAACACUCAAAGAAUACAAGAGAAGCAGGACAACGCUGCAAUAAUACUGGAUCCAAAUUACUACACUUGAACUGCAGGACUUGAACUUUACAAAUCCUUCAUGAUCAGACAGAUGGAUCUGUUUUCUAAAAGGAGUGGUGCUUCAAUUCCCCCCUUCCCCCCACUCGCUCACUCACUUACUUAUGUAAUUUUAGUAACAUUUAAAAAAAUGUGUGAGUGAAGAAUGUGUGAAACCCCAACAAUUACAGUGUGUGUUUAACUGAGUUUCUUUACAAGCUUUAGACUUCAAAAAGCUCCUGCUGUCGCCAGCACUUGUGCUCUUAAACACACACACUUGUGCAUGUGAAUGAAGCGUUGUGGCCUGCUGGUGUCCAUCAGAGCGAUAUAUUCCUUAGAGAUCGAUCAGACUCUGUCUUUGCUCUGCCCUUCAGCUGUUUUCUCUGUGAAGGACUGAGUGUUUUCUCUCUGUGUGUUUGUGCAGGUUUUGGGGACGCCAUCGGAGGAGACAUGGCCAGGUGUUCACUCUCUCCCGCACUUCAAACCAGAUCGAUUCACUGUCUACAGUCCCAAGAAACUCAGACAAGCCUGGAAUAAGCUGGGUUAUGUAGAUCAUGCUGAAGAACUGGCUUCCAGAUUUCUCCAGUGCUUCCCGAAGAACCGUCUCUCGGCUCAGGCGGCGCUUCAUCACGAGUACUUCAGCCAUCUGCCCCCGAGACUCUGGGAGCUGCCUGACAUGUCUUCAAUCUUCACCGUUCCCAGCGUUAAGUUACAGCCGGAGUCUGGCGACAGCAUCCAGGUGUGCAGUAAGAGUCACGGCAAAGCGGCGUCGAACAGCAAACACUGACCCGGAGCCAAACAGGUACAGUCUGUGGCACCAGUGUGUGCUUUACAGUCAACAGCUCUACAGAUGCGUGCUACAUAGUCAUCAUCUGACCUUUUCUAAUAGCAGGUUUAAUUCUUUAUUUUGCUUUUUAAUAAAUGUAAUACAUUUUUUUGUGUAGUCCAAUCAAAAAAUGAAUCAAGAACCAAUGUUUUGAGAAAGAGAAUAUUUAAGUGAAUUUUGAGUACAUGUACACAUGUAUGCUUUGAAAGAAGUCUCUUUACGGCUGCAUUUAUUUGAUUAAAAAUACAGUAAAUACUCUAAAAAUUUGGAUAUAUUAUUAUAAUUUAAAACCGCUGUUUUCUGUGUGAAUAUCUGUUAAAGUGUAAUUUAUUUCUGUGAUGUGCAGCUGUAUUUUCAGCAUCAUUACUCCAGUCUUCAGUGUCACAUGAUCUUCAGAAAUCAUAAUAAUAUGAUGAUUUGCUUCUCAAGAAAAAAAAUCUGAUCAUUAUCAAUGUUAAAAACAGGGUUUUGAUCAAAUAAAUGCAUAAAUAUAGUCUUUUCAAUCAAAUCAGCAUCUUUAGAAUGAUUUCUGAAGGAUCGUGUGACACUGAAGACUGGAGUAAUGAUGCUGAAAAUACAGCUGCACAUCACAGAAAUAAAUUACAUAUUAUAAUAUAUUCACAUAGAAAACACUUAUUUUUAAUUAUAAUAAUAUUUCACAAUUUUUACUGUAUUUUUAAUCAAAUAAAUGCAGUCUUGUUGAGCAGAAGAGACCUUAAUUAGGCAGUGUAAGUGUGAAAAGUGUCGCCUUUCAGUGUAUAUGUGUUCAUUUCCAUUGCUGUUAUUAAAUAUUGCAUUGGUCCAUAUCACAUAUACAUUGAGUUAAUAUUAACAGUCAUCCUCUGCGUUCUUUAGAUAUUUCAUAAAGCAAUGCACUAGUCUGCUGUUCCAGACACCCAGCAUGACUGGAUUCACUCCUGCAGGUCAGGGUUUCAUUGUCCAGAAAGAGGUUGUAUUUGCAUGUAAUAUGUGGUGUGGACGAGCACAUCUCCUGCGGCUGGAUGAAGCUCAUAAUGGAGGGAAAGAAGCCGCGCUUCUGCAGGGAUUAGCAGCCCAAUUACAGGCAGGUGCGGCGGGAGAAUUACGUCUGAACCGCAGGGGGCCGCAGACCUCUGAACCCCGAACACACAGAAUAAUGACACCAGCAACUCAUCAGAGUCCUUUCAGAGCUUCACACGAGCGACAGGCCUGCGCUUCACAUGCUUUGGUUGCAGCUGAUGGUCAAAAGUUUGGAAUAAUUCAAAUUUUUUAAUGUUUCUGAAGGAAGUCUCUUCUGCUCACCGAGGCUGCAUUUAUUUGAUUAAAAUAGAGUAAAAACUGUGAAAAUGUAUUACAGUUUAAAACAUGUUUUCUAUGUGAAUAUCUGUUAAACUGUAAUUUAUUUCUGUGAUGUGCAGCUGUAUUUUCAGCAUCAUUACUCCAGUCUUCAGUGUCACAUGAUCUUCAGAAAUCAUUCUAAUAUGAUGAUUUACUGCUCAGUUAUCAUUAAUUAGUACUCGUGAUCAAAUAUGGUUCUUAAUAUAUUCAGUGAUGAAAACUUGCACAAAAAUAUAUAUAUUUGUUAAGCGUAAAAUUAUAUUUUGAGUCUAUUUUUUAGGACCAUUUAAACAUUUUAGGCUUCUUUUUUUAUGCAAAAUAUAAUGUCUUGAGUUUGAGGGAAAAGUCACUUUUAAAGAUGAAUCUCGUUAUAUUCUAUGCAAGAUAUCAAAGCAAGUGGGGUUACAUUUUUUAUCAUUUAUUUAUUUAUUUUUCAAUUCUAAAAUUUCUAUUUAAUGCUGCUUUGAUGAAUAGAAAGUUCAAAAGAACACAGUUUAUUUUAAAUAGAAAUCUCUACCAUCACUUUUUUCUCAAUUUAAAGGUGAAUAAAAGUUUUAUUUAUUUAUUUAUUCUAAUGUUUCUUGAGCAUCAAAUCAUCAUAUUAGAAUGAUUUCUGAAGAUCAUGUGACACUGAAGACUGGAGUAAUGAUGCUGAAAAUCACAUAGAAAACAGAUAUUUUAAAUUAUUACAAUAUUUCACAAUUUUUCCUGAAAUCUUAAUCAAAUUAAAAAUUUAAAUGUAAAUGUUUCAAUGUAACAAAAUGCAGCCUUGUUGAGCAGAAGAGACUUCUUAAUUGUUUAAAACUUCUGACUGGUUGUGUAAUGGGGAUACAUAUUAAAUAUGAAUGAUAUAUUUUCUCAGAUUGUAUUUUUUUUUAUUUGUUCAGUGUGUUUCCUUUCAUUAGGCUGGUUUAAAAAUCAUAGUUUCCUCUUAAAACAAGUUCUCUCAGCAGUGAUCGGCUCUUUAACACGUUCAUGAAGUGCAGGAAUGAAAGUGAAGUGUUUUUCUUGUCAGCAUGCAGAUGUUGCGGUGUGUGUGUGUGUGUGUGUGUGUGUGUGUGUGUGUGUGUGUGUGUGUGUGUGUGAUAGAGGCGUCGUGCUGCUCAGAAGGGAAGUCGCCCGCUGCGAGAGCGUGUCCUUCCCUCCACUGCAUUCAUAUUGAAAUCACAGGCUUUGUGCUCGGCCGUCUCAACCUGACAGACUCCUGGAGCUCCGAGACGCUCCUCUAAUCCACACACGUCUGAUUGAGCAGCGAGGCUCUCAGAGACGCUCCAGACUCAGUCUUUUCAUGCUCAUCUCACACACAUUAGAUGGAAGAGGCUCUAAAAAGUAUUUUGUUACUAAAGUCUGAAUUUCAUUGUAUUACAUGCAACAUAUCANUA